rnacentral:rRNA from 1 species
UACAGAGGUCCCGAGCGUUGUUCGGAUUCAUUGGGCGUAAAGGGUGCGUAGGCGGCGCGGUAAGUCGGGUGUGAAAUCUCGGAGCUUAACUCCGAAACUGCAUUCGAUACUGCCGUGCUUGAGGACUGGAGAGGAGACUGGAAUUCACGGUGUAGCAGUGAAAUGCGUAGGUAUCGUGAGGAAGACCAGUGGCGAAGGCGGGUCUCUGGACAGUUCCUGACGCUGAGGCGCGAAGGCCAGGGGAGCAAACGGG